GACGAACGCUGGCGGCGUGCCUAAUACAUGCAAGUAGAACGCUGAAGAGAGGAGCUUGCUCUUCUUGGAUGAGUUGCGAACGGGUGAGUAACGCGUAGGUAACCUGCCUGGUAGCGGGGGAUAACUAUUGGAAACGAUAGCUAAUACCGCAUAAAAUGGAUUAUCGCAUGAUAAUCCAUUGAAAGGUGCAAAUGCAUCACUACCAGAUGGACCUGCGUUGUAUUAGCUAGUUGGUGGGGUAACGGCUCACCAAGGCGACGAUACAUAGCCGACCUGAGAGGGUGGUCGGGCACACUGGGACGGAGACACGGCCCAGACCCCUACGGGAGGGAGCAGGAGGGAAUCUUCGGCAAUGGACGGAAGGCUGACCGGGCAACGCCGCGGGAGGGAAGAAGGGUGUCGGAUCGGAAAGCUCUGUUGUAAGAGAAGAACGAGUGGGAGAGUGGAAAGUUCACACUGUGACGGUAUCUUACCAGAAAGGGACGGCUAACUACGUG
rnacentral:rRNA from 1 species